rnacentral:rRNA from 1 species
UACGAAGGGGGCUAGCGUUGUUCGGAAUUACUGGGCGUAAAGCGCACGUAGGCGGAUUGUUAAGUUAGGGGUGAAAUCCCGGGGCUCAACCCCGGAACUGCCUUUAAUACUGGCAAUCUCGAGUCCGAGAGAGGUGAGUGGAAUUCCGAGUGUAGAGGUGAAAUUCGUAGAUAUUCGGAGGAACACCAGUGGCGAAGGCGGCUCACUGGUCCAUUACUGACGCUGAGGUGCGAAAGCGUGGGGAGCAAACAGGG